rnacentral:lncRNA from 1 species
CCAAAGACCUUUAUUUCUUCCUGCCUCCCCGUGGGAAGCCUCCGCCCUGAGGUCCGCUGGCCCACCACCCCUGGGUGCUCAGUUUCUACCAACAUGAGCCAGCAAGCCAGGGAUGGCCGGAGGGCUGCGGGCUCCGCUAUUUGCAAAUGGAUGCCCCAGUGUCCGGGAUGUGUGGCCAGCUGCUGCAGGCAGGACUCCAGCGUCAGGAUGUUGCCACUUGGAGUAUGAACAAUGGGCACGGGGUUUUCAGCCACAGUUCCCUCGAGGCCAGUGUUCAGCAGGAUCAUGCCUUCUGUGUCUGGAAGAGGCGGCAGAGGCAACAGUGUUUAGGAUUUGGGUUAUCAUAAGGUGUUAAGAGUCCCUUGUUAAAGGGGCAGUGGGAGUUAUGGGGUCAUCAAGGACCUUGCCUCUCUGGAAUCUGUCAACCCAGUUUUGGGCUCCAGGUGGAUGGGUUGCUUUAUAAAUGUGCCUGGUGCAUGA